GAAGAUGUACUCAAGAGGUCCAAGAGGUCGCACUCGAAAUGCGAUAGGUCUGCAAGGGCGCGUGGGUUCGAAUCCCACCAUCUUCG
rfam:Eubacterium cylindroides T2-87 draft genome.